rnacentral:lncRNA from 1 species
AUCCCAAUAUUACCAUUCAAUCCUAAACUUUUUAUCUAAAAAUAUCAAACUUGGUUUUUUUUUCUUUUUUGUACAUAAUGCGAUUUAGUUUUGUUCAUAAAAAAAAUCUCAUAUUUUUAUAAAGGGGCAAUUGCUUAUAUAUUUCUGAAAAGUUCCCGACUUUUCGAUUUACCCAUCUUAGAAGGUUAAUAUUGGAAAUAUCCCUCCUACGUUCCAACUUAUUUUUAAUAUACCCCUAGAGUUAAAAUCUGUUAAGUAACUCUGUUAUCUCUGUAAAAUUACUACUUUGCCCUUUCAAAUAUACCCUUCCACUAUCAUUGUCUUUCUUAUUUGUCCUUAAAGUCAGGAGCACAAAAAAUAUUUUGACUUUUGUUCUUUUCCAAUAUACCUUUUUAUCGUCACCAACCUUUCUUAUUUGCCCUUAAGUUAAGAGCAAAAUUGGUAUUUUAAUUUUUUAAACUGUGGUAGAUAUUUAACUCACGUUUAACCCAGAUUAACUUAACAGGAGAUAACUGCGGGGGUAUUAUGCAAUAACGGUGAAACAUAUGAGCGGUAUUUUAGAAAGAAAAAAAAAAGUAGGAGUAAAUCGGAUAGUUCCAAACGUAUGAGGGGUAUAUAGGCAAUUGUCCCUUUUAUAAAACUA